rnacentral:lncRNA from 1 species
AUGGUUCAUGCAUACAAUUGCACGCGCCAUGAAACAACGGGUUACUCACCAUUCUUUCUGCUUUUUGGUCGACAUCCACGAAUGCCCGUAGACCUCCUGUUCAAGUUGGUUACUGAUGGAGAACCACAAACUGCAAGAGGUUAUGCUGAGAAAUGGAAAGAACGAAUGACUGAAGCUUACAGGAUUGCAUCUGAAAACAGCCAAAAGUCAAGUGAUCGUGGGAAGAAACACUAUGACCGGCACUUGAAAGGAGUGGUACUCCAACCUGGUGACAGAGUACUAGUUCGGAACCUGACUGAGAGGGGUGGUCCUGGCAAGUUAAGGUCCUACUGGGAGAACACCAUUUAUGUGGUGAAGGAACAGAUCAAUGACAGCCCAGUCUACAGAGUGGCCUCAGAGGCAAAUGGGAAAAGAGUGCGUGUUCUGCAUCGCAAUCUAUUGCAUCUUGUCAAUGAGCUUCCUGUGGACUUGCCUGCUGUAAAUGAGGGGGACAGGUCAUCUGCUGUCAAGAAAAAGAAACCAAAACCAGCUCAAAGAGAGACAGAGUUUCAACCUCACUCUGACACAAGCUCUGAUGAUGAUGAGAGUUCAAUGUAUUAUGAGUUGAGGUAUGAUUUGAGGAGUGGGAACAAAGAGGGUGCUCUACAUACCUCUAACCAUACUGUUGGACCCUCAAGGGGAACAGCUGAGUUCAGCAGAGUUGUCAACUGUGGAGCACCUCAGCCGACAGAAGCAACAGUAUUGGGGGAACGAACAGCAAGAGAUGAAUUGAGGGAAACAGGAAUGGAACAAGAUGGUGGACACCAAAGCACUGAACUUGACAAUGACAAGGGAGAGGAGGAACAUGAGAUGGUACGGGAAUCAGGAGUCACCGAAGUGCCUUUCACAGUCAACGGAGGAGAAGUUGGGCUGCCGCUUUCAGAAAGGGCACGGCAUACACCCAAUGUGACCCCGCCGACAAAUGAAUCAGUUCUAAGAAGGUCUACUAGAGAACGACGACCUGCUACACAUUUCACAUAUGACACCCUUGGCCAACCCUCUCUCCGGUUGCAUCCAUCAGUCAGUUGUGCUGAAGUGCACGAGUCACCAAACACAACACACUACACCAUGCCACCAUAUCCCCUGUUACCUUACUUCCCCCUAGUGCCAUAUCGCAUUCCAACAUCUCACUGUGCACACCUUCCCUGUAUAUUAUAA